GCUAAGUCUGAGGUUAAAAGUUGUGUUGCUACUGGGCUUUGGAGGGAAUGUAUCUAAGUGAUCUAACCAGUUGUUUCCAGGCAGAGACAGAAGGUUUUGGUUGCCUGAGGGAAGAAUCACUCUGCUACUUGCCCUAUUGAUUGGCUACACUACUGAGUUGUUAAAGGCAGAGCUUCAUCUGAAGGAACAGCGCCUUUGCUUGCAAGAGGCACAGAUGUAGCAGCAGGAGGAACAAUGCAGAAACAAGAGAUGCUGAGGCUUAAAAAAAGCAAUUGUGUGCCAAAGUCACUCCAGAAGAUUUCACCAUCGUUACUGUAGGGGCGGACCCUCAUAUGUUCCUCACCACCUUUAGUGGGCAGUACAAAAAUGUACAAACAAAAAUCCAAGUACCCAACACACCACUGAUUUUUAAUUUAUCUAUCCUCAUUGUUAAAAACCCUUCAUAAAAAGCAAGGAUCUUUUUUGCAGUG